rnacentral:pre_miRNA from 1 species
CAUAUACUCCCUCCGUUCGGAAUUACUUGUCUUGAAAAUGGAUGUAUCUAGAACUAAAAUACGUCUAGAUACAUCCAUUUCCACGAUAAGUAAUUCCGAACGGAGGGAGUAUAUA